rnacentral:rRNA from 1 species
ACGCACGCUGGCGGCGUGCUUAACACAUGCAAGUCGAACGAAGCUUGCUUACGGAUUCUUCGGAUGAAGUAUGAUAUGACUGAGUGGCGGACGGGUGAGUAACGCGUGAGUAACCUGCCCUUCAGAGGGGGAUAGCGUUUGGAAACGAACGGUAAUACCGCAUAAUGUAUUUUGACCGCAUGAUCGAAAUACCAAAGAUUUAUCGCUGAAGGAUGGACUCGCGUCUGAUUAGGUAGUUGGUGGGGUAACGGCCUACCAAGCCGACGAUCAGUAGCCGGACUGAGAGGUUGAUCGGCCACAUUGGGACUGAGACACGGCCCAGACUCCUACGGGAGGCAGCAGUGGGGAAUAGUGCACAAUGGGCGCAAGCCUGAUGCAGCAACGCCGCGUGAAGGAAGACGGUUUUCGGAGUGUAAACUUCUGUUCUUAGGGAAGAAUAAUGACGGUAGCUAAGGAGCAAGCCACGGCUAACUACGUG